GACGAACGCUGGCGGCGUGCUUAACACAUGCAAGUCGAACGGAAAGGCCCGGCUUUUGUGGGGUGCUCGAGUGGCGAACGGGUGAGUAACACGUGAGUAACCUGUCCCUGACUUUGGGAUAACUUCAGGAAACUGGGGCUAAUACCGGAUAGGAGCUCCUGCUGCAUGGUGGGGGUUGGAAAGUUUCGGCGGUUGGGGAUGGACUCGCGGCUUAUCAGCUUGUUGGUGGGGUAGUGGCUUACCAAGGCUUUGACGGGUAGCCGGCCUGAGAGGGUGACCGGCCACAUUGGGACUGAGAGACGGCCCAGACUCCUACGGGAGGCAGCGGUGGAGAAUAUUGCACAGUGGGCGGGAGCCAGAUGCGACAACGCCGCGUGCGGGAUGACGGGCUUCGGGUUGUGAACCACUGUCGCCUGUGACGAGGCGUGAGUGACGGUAAUGGGUAAAGAAGCACCGGCUAACUACGUG
rnacentral:rRNA from 1 species